rnacentral:rRNA from 1 species
AUUGAACGCUGGCGGCAUGCCUUACACAUGCAAGUCGAACGGUAACGGGCCUUCGGGUGCCGACGAGUGGCGAACGGGUGAGUAAUACAUCGGAACGUGCCCGAUCGUGGGGGAUAACGAGGCGAAAGCUUUGCUAAUACCGCAUACGAUCUACGGAUGAAAGCCGGGGACCGCAAGGCCUUGCGCGGACGGAGCGGCCGAUGGCAGAUUAGGUAGUUGGUGGGAUAAAAGCUUACCAAGCCGACGAUCUGUAGCUGGUCUGAGAGGAUGAUCAGCCACACUGGGACUGAGACACGGCCCAGACUCCUACGGGAGGCAGCAGUGGGGAAUUUUGGACAAAGGGCGCAAGCCUGAUCCAGCCAUGCCGCGUGCAGGAUGAAGGCCUUCGGGUUGUAAACUGCUUUUGUACGGAACGAAAAGCCUUCUUUUAAUACAGGAGGGUCAUGACGGUACCGUAAGAAUAAGCACCGGCUAACUACGUG